rnacentral:rRNA from 1 species
AUUGAACGCUGGCGGCAUGCCUUACACAUGCAAGUCGAACGGUAACAGGUCUUCGGAUGCUGACGAGUGGCGAACGGGUGAGUAAUACAUCGGAACGUGCCCGAUCGUGGGGGAUAACGAAGCGAAAGCUUUGCUAAUACCGCAUACGAUCUACGGAUGAAAGCAGGGGACCGCAAGGCCUUGCGCGAACGGAGCGGCCGAUGGCAGAUUAGGUAGUUGGUGGGAUAAAAGCUUACCAAGCCGACGAUCUGUAGCGGGUCUGAGAGGACGACCAGCCACACUGGGACUGAGACACGGCCCAGACUCCUACGGGAGGCAGCAGUGGGGAAUUUUGUACAAUGGGCGAAAGCCUGAUCCAGCCAUGCCGCGUGCAGGAUGAAGGCCUUCGGGUUGUAAACUGCUUUUGUACGGAACGAAAAGACUCUGGUUAAUACCUGGGGUCCAUGACGGUACCGUAAGAAUAAGCACCGGCUAACUACGUGCCAGCAGCCGCCGUAA